GAUGAACGCUAGCGGCAGGCCUAACACAUGCAAGUCGAGCGGCAUUGUUCCUUCGGUAGUGAGCGUGCGGCAUACGGGUGCGUAAGACGUGUGCAACCUGCCUUUAUCUGGCGGUUAGCCUUACCUACGGACACAUCCUACUCCCUCAUAUAUUGCUCUGCAUCGCUUACUAUUGACAGUUCCGGCGGGUAGUCAUGAGCACUCGGAAGUAUAGCCAGUGAGUGAGUUAACUGCGCACCAAGGCGAUGAUCCUUAGGGGGCCUGAGAGGGGGAUCCCCCACACUGGUACUGGGACACGGACCAGACUCCGACGGCAGGCAGCAGUGAGGAACAGUGGUCAAUGGGUGCAAGCCUGAACCAGCCAUCCCGCGUGAAGGACGACUCCCCUAUGGGUUGUAAACUUCUGUUGUAUAGGGAGAAACCUACCCACGUGAGGGUAGCGGAAGGUACUAGACGAAUAAGCACCGGCUAACUCCGUG
rnacentral:rRNA from 1 species